AAACAAACACACACAUCGUCUUGCUUUGGGUUCACAGUCUGUUGCAUCCCCAAACCAUUGACAGCCAAUGCCAUCCACUUCUGCUUCCGAUGUCACUGCAAACACUUUGAGGUCUGCGGCUGUGCACACCAGGACAUUGGUUUCCACAAG